GGAAAUGCCAUUGAAAACACUGCACUGCCUAUGAUUUAUCUUAUAGCAAGUCCUGCCUUUAAGAAAUUAACAUUACACUGAAGGCUUCUACUUCCAUAAUUUGGGAGAAUAAGCAUUCUAUGGUUAUUGAGAAGCAGCAAGCAAUAGUGAAGAGAUAUAGAAGUAAUUGGGUUCUGAGUACUUUGUCAUAGAGCUCAGUAUCUGCAUGGAAAUAUAAUAAAAGGGCCGAAAAAGGGUAUCCAAUGGCAUUUCAGACAUGAGUAGUCAUCAUAACUUCAUACUCUCUCCGUGGCAUUUCACCUGCCAAAGAUCUCCUUGGGACCAGAUUCCAUUCUCAGCCUAGAACAUGCUUGCUGGAAGGAACCAUGCUUUGUUCAUGGUCUCUCACCGGGCCUGACGCUGAAGUCUUUGCUCUUCUCCUUGCAACAAACUUUCCUCCUUUGACAGCAGAUCCAUGCUGGUUUGUUUGGUCAGCUUGUAUUUGGGCUAGUUCUGUGGGGCACGGCUCUUCUUCUAUUAGAUGCUUGUGA
rnacentral:lncRNA from 1 species